GAUUAACGCUGGCGGCAUGCCUAAUACAUGCAAGUCGAACGAGGUUCUUCGGAACCUAGUGGCGAACGGGUGAGUAACACGUAGGAAACCUGCCUCAAAGUCGAGGAUAACUAUUGGAAACGAUAGCUAAAACUGGAUAGCAUAUCGGAAGGCAUCUUCUGAUAUCUAAAAGCCCUUCGGGGAUGCUUUGAGAUGGUCCUGCGGCGCAUUAGCUAGUUGGUAAGGUAGUGGCUUACCGAGGCGACGAUGCGUAGCUGAGCUGAGAGGCUAAACAGCCACACUGGGACUGAGACACGGCCCAG
rnacentral:rRNA from 1 species